CCACAACCACAGCAAAAAUUACAACUAAACUACAAAAUAACUAUCAGAAUUGUCAGAACAUCAAGCUGUAGGGCAGUCUGACAACCAAGGAAUUAAAAGUCACAUUUAUCCAGACAGGAAGAAGGGGUAGAGAGGUGG